rnacentral:rRNA from 1 species
UGGGGAAUAUUGCACAAUGGGCGCAAGCCUGAUGCAGCCAUGCCGCGUGUAUGAAGAAGGCCUUCGGGUUGUAAAGUACUUUCGGAGGGGAGGAAGGCGAUGUGGUUAAUAACCGCGUCGAUUGACGUUACCCGCAGAAGAAGCACCGGCUAACUCCGUGCCAGCAGCCGCGGUAAUACGGAGGGUGCAAGCGUUAAUCGGAAUUACUGGGCGUAAAGCGCACGCAGGCGGUCUGUCAAGUCGGAUGUGAAAUCCCCGGGCUCAACCUGGGAACUGCAUCCGAAACUGGCAGGCUUGAGUCUCGUAGAGGGGGGUAGAAUUCCAGGUGUAGCGGUGAAAUGCGUAGAGAUCUGGAGGAAUACCGGUGGCGAAGGCGGCCCCCUGGACGAAGACUGACGCUCAGGUGCGAAAGCGUGGGGAGCAAACA